AAGGUUCCUGUUAUUGUAUUACUUAGUGCACGUAAGAAUUAGUGGUGAAAAACAAUGAAUGUGGUAAACUAAACUUGGUUGUCCUUUUACUUACUUGUCUAGUUAAGUAACUUUAUGAAAUUUGACCUAGGACAAAACUAUAACAUCUUAUAAUUUGGAACAGAAGGAAUGGAAGAUUAUCAUGUUCUGAGAUUUAUUCUGGAUUUCCGAGGAGCAGCAUUUCGAAUAAUAAGAAUAAAUUUCAUAAAACCACACUUUCCUACCCACUUGUCUUGCAGAACCACACUUGUUAAUUUGUCCGUUGCGUCAAAACCAUUCGGACAAAAUGUAACAGUAAACCCAAAACACACGGUUUAGUGAACUUGACGGGAUUUCCGACAGCUGGGUCAGUCGCCACGUCGGAUCCGAUCCGGCCCGACCCGACCCAUUACCCUCCCACUCCCUGCCUCCCCGUCCCAUGGCCGGACUCGGGGAAGAUGGCGACGCAUGGUGACUUGGCCUUGCUGCCGAGAUCCGUGGAGGCGCGGCGAAUCCAGCGGCGUGGUCAAGGAGGCGAGGUGAGGACAGAGGCGGCCGGUCGACGGCAUGCUUGCGGCGGCAAGCGAGCUUGACGGCGCGGGAGAGAUUGGGGCGGCCAGAGUCGAGGGAGGAGGCGGCGCCGUGCUCGCAGCUUCGCAGCGGAGCUGGUGGUGCGGACGGAGAGGCGGGGGACGCAGGGAACCAGUAGCGCACGAAGCGGCGGCGCUCCUGCCGGAGUUGGGGAAGAAGAGCGGCGUCAGGCGAGGGGAUGGCAGAGCAGAUCGCGGACCCAACGUUCAGCGAGAUGGCGGAGCAGCUGCAGACAGCAGCAGCUCAAGGCCCGCGUCGCCGACAUGAAGGAGGACCCGUCGUCCAUGAACGAGAUCGAGUCUGGUGACCCCUUGUAAGCCCCAUCGAUCCACAACACCAAUAUCCAUCGAUCAAAGAAUCUAAUGGCCAACAUGAUAUCACUGGCGGUAUGUGAGAAUGCACAGUCAGCUCUGGAUUUAGCGUCCACGGUCAUGGUAAUAAGUGCUAACUAAAUUACUUUGUAUUCUUUUCUUUACAUACCGUACAUUACUGCAUCUAGUGCAUUCUUGCGUUCUUUAUUUUUUACUUGCGGCUGUUGAAUGACUCCAACUGUAUCAAAUUCAACUUUGUACAAUCCAAUCCAGGAAAUCUCAACAUUAGGCAUCCGUUCAACAGAAAUUUCUCAACAUACAACCAACCAGGUAACUUUCGCUAUAAGAUUCUUCUUUUAUGUGUUUUUCAGGAAUAAACAUGGACAUUCAUUUUUCUCUCCCGAAAAGGUGGUAAACACCCCCGCCUUCUGUAUCAAUUGAUGCAAUGGUAGACGCCAUAUAGUGAUCAUUUUCAAAAUACAUAUGGUUAGGAUGUACGCAACUAUCUUUUGUAACGCUGCCGAGGAAGCCUGCCAUGAGGUGUUCCAGGUGGACACAGUUCUUUCGUUUCUUGGGGCCCUUGGAUCUUUAGGGGCAAUUGCUCAUAUCUUGGUUCAAGAUAAUAUGGAUAAACCGGAAGGAGGUCCUUUGAAAAAUAAGAUUAACCACCAUCAGAUAGAAACGGAUUACCACAAGUUUAAUAAUAAGAUGGGUCUUUUGAAAGAGAGAUUCAUGCUGGGUGCACCAACUGGCGCACACAAGAUGAUGAGCCAGAUACUCGGGAAUGGUUCAAUUCUUGCAGAAUCAUAUGUUUCCAAACUGAUCCAAGAUGCAUUACCUCGUGAUUGAGGCAAAAAAGCUGUUGUGUAUGUUUAAUCAUCUGCGUCUGCCGGCCUCUUCUUGGUGCGAAAGCCUUGCGCAUAGUACUUGGGGGAGAGGAAUCUUCUUUGGUCGAGUCUUUGGGUGUUCCAAUGGCUCCUUUGCUCUGGCAGCGUCAGAAGAGAAAUAUCCCCAAAAAAUAAAGUAGGAUGUCGACAUUGUAAAGGAUAAAUAAUAGUGUUCAAUGAUUUGUCUGAUUAGUAAUUUAGUUGUAUUUGUUUUACCAUGAGAAAUAUGGCUUGUUCAAGAGUUACUCAACUCUAAAAAAGUUUACUUUUGUACUUU